rnacentral:misc_RNA from 1 species
GAUGAAGAACUCAGCGAAAUGCGAUAAGUAAUGUGAAUUGCAGAAUUCAGUGAAUCAUCGAGUCUUUGAACGCACAUUGCGCCCCCUGGUAUUCCGGGGGGCAUGCCUGUCCGAGCGUCAUUGCUGCCCUCAAGCACGGCUUGUGUGUUGGGCCCCCGUCCCCGGUUUCCCCCGGGGACGGGCCCGAAAGGCAGCGGCGGCACCGCGUCCGGUCCUCGAGCGUAUGGGGCUUUGUCACCCGCUCUGUAGGCCCGGCCGGCGCCAGCCGACACCCAACUUUAUUUCUAAGGUUGACCUCGGAUCAGGUAGGGAUACCCGCUGAACUUAAGCAUAUCAAUAAGCGGAGGA